GGAGGGAAAAAGGCGAAGAAUGAAUCAAAACAACCCGGAAAAUAUUGGCCCUCCGCGGACACUGUCGGUGCUGACGUCAUGGCUCGUCGCUCCACACUUCCUGGAUCAUUUGCAAGGAAUCAAUUAGAAUAAAAAGAACAAUACAACGUUUCAGCUUACCAUAUGCUGAAAACAAACUGGAUUUGGUCAUCUGUCGUUUAUAAACAGUAGGGAGAAGGAGUGUAACAUGACAUAAAUAUAAAAUUCAAAUCCAAUUUAUUAAAUUACAAACAAAAUUGCCGAGGUUUAAUAUCUCAUUAUUUAGAAUUUGUAAUGGUUUUAAUGCAAAAUGUAUUGGUUUUAAUGGAAGCUGUAAUGGUCCAUUAUGGGUCUCUAGUGAUAAUUUGUUACCUUCUAUUGCUGGUAUGUUAUGUGUAGUGGAUACCAUUAAGGACCAAUAAUGGUAAUGAUUUUAAUUGUUAGCUGAUGUUUUGUAAUGGUAUGUGUAGUGGAAACCAUUAGAAUUUCAGUGAUGGUUUUUGUUGGGUUUUGUUCAGCAGAGCUAUCGGCAAAAAAAAAAAAAAAAAAAAAAAACUGAUCAUUUUAAAAGGCAUUAAACCUACUUAUUAAGUCGUUUUGCCGAUCUUGGGUUACAGUCUGUGUGGAGUUUCUCAUGUUUUCACAAUGUCUGCGUGUGUUUCCUCUUGGUUCUCCAGUUUCCUCCCACCGCCCUAAAACUUGCCAGUAGGUGGCUUGGAAAAAGAAAUUGCUAAGAUAAAGUGUAGAAGGGUUUACGAAUAUGUUCGCGCAUUAUGCCCUACGAUUAAGGGUGUAUUCCCAUCUCAUUUCCAGUGUUCCCAGAAUAAGCCAUUAAUUUUAAAAAUUUGAAUGACCCAUAUGUGUAUUGGUGUAUUAGCUCAGCAUUAGUGACUGGUGUUUUGCUAUAUAGAUUGCGACAUGCUUUUUAAAAAAUACAGUCCAUCCAUCCAUCAAUUUUCUAUACUGCUUAUACUUCAGGGUCACGGGGAAACCUGGAGCCUACCUCAGGGAGCAUGGGACACAAGGUGGGGUACACCCUGGACAGGGUGCCAAUCCAUCGCAGGGCACAAUCACACACAUUCAGACACCCAUUCAUAUACUACAGACACUUUGGGCAUGCCAAUCAGCCUACCAUGCAUGUCUAUGGACUGGGGAUGGAGGGGGACUGGAGUACCUGGAGGAAAUCCCCGCAGAACGGGGAGAACAUGCACAAACCAUCAAACAUCGAACCCCCAACCCUGGAGGUGUGAGGCGAACAUGCUAACGACUAUCAUUUGGGUGUGAUGUCAUAGUACACUCCAUAUCUAUGGUAGUGUCGCAAUACUAAAGUUUCAAAAUAUCUCUAUACUAAUACCAAUUUCACUAUUUUUAGUGUACGGUAGUGCUGUAAGUAAUGUAUGUGAGGCGGUUAAUACUAUUUUCGCUAAAAUGACGCAUACCACCGCUUUUGCAGAAUACACACAGAUACCCUUCCUGCCUUCCUGACGCAACCCUCCCAUUUUAUCCGGGCUUGGGACCGGCAUUGAGUGCAAUCCCGAGUGUCUGGGGUUCCCCUGCCAGAAAUCAAAACCAGGCUGCUAUGGCCUGGGAAAACAACUGAACAUUUUUUCCUGCUGGAGUUCAUUCUCUCUCUCUCUCUCACAGCGCCAUCUGUGGAGUGGAGGAGCAGCAGCUCACAGCAAAAACUUGGGCAUCUGCGAGAAUGAAGCUGCUGAAUGGAGAGGUCACCUCUGAUCUCCAGAUUGAACCACCCACGGAAGGAAGGAAGGAUAGUAGGAAGUUACAUUACACCCCACUUAGGGGUACUAACACAGUGUAUCCCAAUGAUCCGUUGUAUUCAUCAUUAAUAAACUAUUAGUGAUAAAUUC